GAGAUGCUCAGAAGCUCAGAUGAAGCAGUAGCAUCUUGCCUGGCAAUGGGAGCCUUUCCACCACACUGAUGAUGGAUCAUCAGAUUCAGUUUAUUAGAAAUCUUGCUUUUGAAUAACUGAAGCUCAGGUAUUGUGGAAGACCACUUCUGUUCAUCCAAAGAUGACCGUUGGCAUAGAAGCUGUCAGCAGAAGUCCCUACGGUCUGCUGAAACCUGCAUCUUCCAUUUUUCUUGUCCUUGAGGAUAUGAAGAUGGGCAAAAAUAAAAGCCAGACCACUCUUCCGAGCAAUGAGGUGUGUCUCACCGAUGUAAUGCAAGGACAUUCAAUUGUGGAAGUACAUUACUUUUUUCUCAAGUCAGAUCAUCAUAGCACAAAGGUUUUACAAACGAAAAAUGCUUCCUUGUCUUGGAGUUGGGUAAUUAAAAGCUUUUUUCCUGACCACUUCACUGAAGACCGAAGAAGACAUUUUCCAUGUCUCUUUAGUACCUGGAAUUCCAUUUUUUUUUCCAGUGGAAAAGCUGUAAUAUAGUGAACUAACACACACGCGACUUACCUGUGCUCUUUAAAUAAAGCAAUGAUAAUCUUUAUCA
rnacentral:lncRNA from 1 species